GACGUAGGGCGCAAGCGUUGUCCGGAAUUAUUGGGCGUAAAGAGCUCGUAGGCGGUGUGUCGCGUCGGCCGUGAAAACCUGCAGCUUAACUGUGGGCUUGCGGUCGAUACGGGCAUCACUGGAGUUCGGCAGGGGAGACUGGAAUUCCUGGUGUAGCGGUGAAAUGCGCAGAUAUCAGGAGGAACACCAAUGGCGAAGGCAGCCAACUAUUCUGAUCCUGACAUUGAGGCAUGAAAGCGUGGGGAGCAAACCGG
rnacentral:rRNA from 1 species